AACGAGAUAGUUUAAUUAAAAAUAGCAGAUUUGCGUUCUGAAGAUGGAUUAUAUUCUUUUGUUA
rnacentral:tRNA from 1 species